GAUGAAGAACGUAGCGAAAUGCGAUAAGUAGUGUGAAUUGCAGAAUUCAGUGAAUCAUCGAAUCUUUGAACGCACAUUGCAGCCAUAGGUAUUCCUUUGGCCAUGCCUGUUCGAGCGUCAUUUACACCCUCAAGCCUAGCUUGGUGUUGGGCGCCUGUCCCGCCGUUUUCGCGCGCGGACUCGCCUCAAAGUCAUUGGCGGCGGUCGUGCCGGCCCCCUCGCGCAGCACAUUUGCGCUUCUCGGAGGCCCGGCGGAUCCGCGCUCCAGCAAGACCUUUCACGACUUGACCUCGGAUCAGGUAGGGAUACUCGCUGAACUUAAGCAUAUCAAUAAGCGGAGGA
rnacentral:misc_RNA from 1 species